AGCGCCCGCCGCCCGAUCGCCGGCGGCCAUCCCUAGCUCCCACAGCUCCGGUCCGGUCGCUUCGUCUCCGCCUUCGCGAGACCGUUUCAGCUUUAUACAGGUGACGUCGCAGGUCCGAGUGGGACGGCAGGUGAGGAGCGAGUCUAGCGCGCGUUAGAGCUCCGUCCCGUUUGGUUAUCUCUUUUCCCUUGCUUGAAUAAAUAGUAAACUUUCAUUACGGUUCAGUUUCAUUCGGUACUUGAAUAUUCAGUUUUCUGCUGGGUUUUCGUGAUAAAAAGAGAUUUAUGGGCUUUUCAAGUAAAAUGGUUUUCUACCCCUCGUGGUAGCGCUUGCUUUAAAAAGAAAAAGGGUUUUCAUAUUCGAUACAGUUUUCGAUGGUUUUCUACCCCUCGUGGUAGCGUUUUAAAAGAUAAAGGUUUCUGUGUGGGAAACAUUUCAAAUGAUAGUUCUGGAUUUAUGUUUAAAACUUGGAAUACUGUCGUGUUGUGAAUGGUGAAUGUAUGAACGUUUGCAUGUGCGGUUGAGAUUGCGUGUUCAUAUGGUUGUGGUUGUAUUCUGGUUGUACUCUGAUUGUGUACCUGUACUUGUGCGACGCCGUGCAAAUACAGGGGAGACUCUGUCCGUGUGAACAGUGGAUUCCCUGUAUUUGUGGCGGA